UAGUGAGUUUGAUCCUGGCUCAGGAUGAACGCUGGCGGUCUGCUUAACACAUGCAAGUCGAACGGAGUAGCAAUACUUAGUGGCGGACGGGUGAGUAACGCGUGAGAAUCUGCCUUCAGGACGGAGACAACAGUGGGAAACGACUGCUAACCCCCGAUGUACCGCAAGGGAAAAUAUUUAUAGCCUGAAGAAGAGCUCGCGUCCGAUUAGCUAGUUGGAGAGGUAACAGCUCACCAAGGCGACGAUCGGUAGCUGGUCUGAGAGGACGAUCAGCCACACUGGGACUGAG
rnacentral:rRNA from 1 species